rnacentral:tRNA from 1 species
UGCCUGGAGGACUAGUGGUUAGGCCACGGCGCUCUCACCACUGCAGCCCGGGUUCAGUUCCCGACCAGGCAA